GGGGGGGACCAAGGAGGCAGGGUUUCAAAUAUCCUGUCUCGCGGUCUCGUCGUGCAGCCUCCCCGCGCCGCGUCCCAAGGGCUCUGGGAUGGAAGGGACCGCGAGUGGUGGUGGAAGGCCUGGCUGAUUGGGCUGGGAGGAAGGGACAGGGCUCUGGAGGCGGAGUUGUGGUGCAGCGGGCUAAGCUCCAACAGUGGCAUCGGCAUCCAAAAUGAGCACCAGUUCCCAGUCCCGGCUGCUCUGCUUCCAAUCCAGCUCCCUGCUUGUACACCCAGGAAAGCAGCUGAAGAUGGCCCUGCACCCAUGUGGGAGGCCGAGAUGGAGUUCUGGGCUCCUGGCUUCGGCCUGGCCCGGCCCCAGGCAUUGUGGUGGGGAAGAUCUGUGUCCCUUACUCUCUAACUCUGCCUUUCAAUUAAAUCAGCACAUCUUUAAAAAAGAAGAAGAACAUUACUUCCUAAUGAAAGAAAUUUCAAUGUGGAGCACUUUGGGAUUUUUACCAAAAAGAGGGACCUGUAGUUUUAUCUUGCUAAAUUGUAAAAUGUGUCCCCCCAACUCCCUGUCCAUGGCUCUCCCCUCCUUCUUUCUACCAUUGCAACCUCUGGCAAUAUGCCCUUCAAAGAAGAACAAAGAGAACAGAAGAAAAUGGGGAGAGUACUGUUUCUCACCGUCCCCUCAUGUUACACAUGCACAUACACACACACACAUGCACACACACACAUGCACACGCACACACAUACGCACGCGCACACACACCUUGGUGUUUUUCUGCAGGGGGGCUGGAGUCACAGGGCUCUAGUGUUGCCACAUGAUUUGGGGGACCUGUGAUGAAGUGGCCACCUGAAGCUACCUGAGCAGGUCUCCUGGGUAGGUGGCCGCCCCCCCUGCCUCCCAGGGCUGCAGUCAGGAGGGAGCCUAUCUGGGCACUCUGAGAUGGGAGUCUCUGGGUCACCCUGCUCUUAACUGCCCCGGUGAGGUGUGUCUCAGCUCUGAUGGGGUUGCUGACAAGGCUGAGUGCUGACUGUCCCGUCUCCACAGCUGUGUCGCCGGCCAGGAAACCCCCGCGCCCAUCCUCUCUCACCCCUCCUCCUCCUCCCUCCCUGGUGGUCAGCCCGGGAGACAACAGGGUGAAGGUCACAGGCUGUCUGUCCAAGCCUCUUAUGUUACAGAUGGGAUACUGAGGCCCAGCCUCACCCAGCAUCCCCCAUCCCCACCCCCACCCACGCCGGUCGUACCCCCACACACACACCUUUCCCUCUUCCUUCACCCCGGCGGCUUCCUGACUGACGCCAGCCCUGUGUCUCCCAGCCCCACGGCCCAGGCGUCCCGGCCCUCCUGCCCUCCCCGCAAAGGGGCCCCGUCAACGCUCCUCCAACCGAGCCAGGAGGAUGGCCGGUGAUUGACAGUUUACACAGAGAAUCUCACUGAACACAAUUCCUCUCCUAUUUGAAUAACAAUGGGAGCAGCAACUUUGCCAGCUAUUUUGCUUUCCCCUUAAUCAUGAUGUGAAAAACCCAGGGAAGAAAGCGAUAUCAAAGGCUCAUAAGCAUUAUUCAAACCUUCCCUGUCCCAUCGCCCGGCACUUGAAAAGCCAGCAUCGCGGUGAAAACAGACCUGCUGGGGGUGACACUCGACAGCACAUUAACGUGUCAUGGGCGCCUGUCACUUUGCAACCGAAUGCCGGGGUGUCUGGUGCCCUCUCCGGGUGCAGAUGUAGCGCAGCGAGGAGAUCGCUGUGGCCCCCUUGACUUUCCAAAUGAGGAGGCUGACACCCGUCGGAGGAAGGGGCCGGCCGAUGGCUGUGCCGGGCAGAAAAACUGGGACUAGAAGGUUCCGGCCAGGAGCCCUGCUCUCCCGCCUGCAUCGUGAGACCCAGUUGUAGAACCAUGGAAUGUUAACCAGGGAAGAGGUCUCGGUGGUCUUCCUCUAACAUGUGCCGGUUCUGGGCCAUCUGUGCCCCAAGGAAGCCAGCCCCUCACCACAGAGCCUGACACCACUCCCAACAGCACGCGAGUCACAGGCUGGGUCCCAGGAGGAAAUGGCGUUCCAUCCGUGUUACCCUUCCGCUUUGCCGACAGGCGGCUGUGGAAGCCCCCCAGCCGCUGGGUCAGUGGCCAGGAGCCAACCGUUUCUCACAUAGCCGGCCCAGAGCAGAGAGUAAAUUGUCAGAAAUGGCCCGAAGAGGCCAUCAGUGGGAAAUAAAGCAGAGAGUGGUCCGGGAGGCCGGCAGCCGGCGCAGGCUGUCUGCCUCUGCUCCACGGGUCGCGAGCCCGCGGUGCACCCACCCCCCAGCCCGUCCACCCCCCUCUGCCGAAGCCCCGGCUCCUGGGCCCCUCGUUGUUAAAUCACUACUUAGGGGGACCUGUGCUGGAACUCGGUGAGGAGACAUCAGAACGGGCUCAAGGUCACGUGGCCAGUCAGCAGCCAAUCCAAUGCCCAGGCCGGAGAGUGCCUGUCGGGGUUCACAAACUGACCCUGUUUGCCCUCCCCCUGCUAGGCCCAGAAGAAACGCAAGGCUCAAGGGAAGGCUGUUCUCCACUUCCUACCUCCUGGGCUCCCCGGAACCCCAGGGAGGGCCCCCGGGGUCGGGGGGGCUGCAAGCUGCAGUGGGGUGGCUCCAGGGGCAGGCAGGCCAGCCGAGAUGGGGGGAGUGGGGGCUGCCUUCCUGCCCCUCCCCCACCCCAGCAUGAUGUCCACUGCCCACACCCCCACCCCCCUGCGGAGCUCAGCUGGGGCCUCACAGGGGCUGGCCAGGUGCCGAGAGCGGCUUCCUUCUGGCGUGAGUUGCUCCUAGUGGUGUGACUGCUGGGGAAGCCUCUGGCCCCCACGGGGGCAGACGUGCCCCACCUGACUCCCGCUCCGCCAAGGUCAACGGUGAGCGAAGGCAGCUGUGAGUGUCCCUGUCCCAGGCUCCCAGGCUAGGCUGGGGAGGUGUCUGAAUCCUCAGGUUCUGGGGCUGGGGACUCCCUCUGGGGUCAGCAGUGGAGGAAGGCGAAGGACUGAGGUGAGGGCUCUGGGCCGGCCAGCGGGGCUGCACCCCUGCCCCAUCACGUGCUCCCGUGGCCUUGACUUGGCCCCUCCCCGAGAACAGCAGCCAGCAAACACCCGGCGGCGCUGCACUUGAGGGCUGCUGCCUCUGACCGAUGCUGCUCAGCUCAGAGCGCCCAAGGACAGCCCUGGCCACCAGGCGUGGCAGCAGCUGCACUGAGCCUCUCACCAAGGCUGACUUCGGAUCUGUCCCAAGGACGCCGGCCCUCUUGAUGUAACCCAGAGAACCCACUGGGCUGGUGGACACCUAACAGGGCAGUUCUUCAGCAGCCCAGGUGUUCCCGAGCGAUACCCAGCGAUGUGGCUGCCACCACCAGGGCCAGGCCACAGCCUCCCUGCACUCCCCACACCCCCUCGUUCCCCUCCUACUGACUCUUGGGUGUCCAGCCCUACCCAACCAGUGCAAAGCUCCUCUCUCUCUCUCUCUCCCCCCCCCCCACUCUGCAACAGUACCUCCUUCCCCCACCAAUGCUUGUAUUCCUCGAGUAAAUUGGCCACCAAUGCUUGUAUUCCUUGAGUAAAUUGGCACAAGCCGGCUAACAGCUAAGAAAGAAUCAGUUCUGAAGUCACCGAGCCAGGGACCCGGGGGCCGGAGGAACCUUCCAGAGACAGGAAAGCCAGCAGGUGGCGGCCUGCUCGGACAAGCCCUGCCAUGUUCAGCAACCUCAGAGGAUGCGCCCCCCACCCCCACCCCGGGACUGUCUGCUCUUUCCUACUUCCUCUUUAAAAACACCCUCAAAGGAUGUGUGACAGAGAAUCAACCCAAACUGGAUUAUCCCCACCUCUGUGGAGCAGCCGCGCUGUAAGAAGCGUGCAGGCCGAGUGUCCUGGUUUUCCCAAAGGCUCCCAGUGGAAGGACAGAGGUUUCCGGGGCCUGGCCUGGCUGUUUGGCACCCUGUCCAGUUGCCCCUCCCCGUGCUGCCCACCAGCUUCCGGGGAACGCUAGCCUCGGGAGCUGUCCUGGGCCUUGUGCAUGCCAGAGCCCUUGCCCAUGGCCUCCCUCUGUGUCCUUGCUGGCUGGAGGCCACGGGUCCGACUUGCCGGGCCAUUGCUCGGCUACUGGUUGGGUGCCUGGCAUGGGGGCCCCCACUCCCAGUCCCUGUCUCUGUGGAGCUUCCAGUCUUGAUAAGGGACCCAGGAAGGGAGUGGCUGCAUUGCACCCACAGCACACCUGUGAGGCUGGAGGGCCUCUGCACAGACCCCUCCCGCCAGAGAGGAAAGGCGAGGCGCUGCCCAGGCCGCAUCUGACCGCAGCUUCUCAGAUAGCGGAGCCAGAGUUCAGGGCCCUUUCUGUCUUCGCCAGCACAGGUGAGGUGCUCCGGGCACUCGGCCGUCCCCCGAGGGCCUGUCUGGCUCUUUUCCUUCCACGGCCCGUUUAGCUCCUUGCCCCCAGUCCCCUGCACCUCCCUCUGUUUAUGUUGGGGCUGACGUUUCUAUUGACGUAUUGAUCUCUCUAGCCGAGGAGCGUUUCUGCUGAACGGGCCUGCUUCUCGCUCAGGGGCCAGCAGGGCAGGCUCGGGUGGGGGUGGCAGGAAUGGGGGGGCUCGAGUCUGGGAUUGGAAUCGGAAGGGGUGUCAGGAGUUUUAAAAGAUUAUUUAUGAUCACUUAUUUAUUUGAAAGGCAGAGUUGAGAGAGAGGGAGACAUAUCUUCCAUCUGCUGGCUUACUUCUCAGAUGGCUGCAACGGCCAGGGCUGGGCCAGGCUGAGGCCAGGAACCUGAAACUCCAUCUGGGUCUCCCAUGUGGGCGCAGGGACCCAAGUCCUUGGGCCAUCAUCUGCUGCCUUCCCAGGUGCAUUAGCAGAGAGGUAAAUUGGAAGUGGAGCAGCCAGAACUCGAACCGGCACCCAUAUGGGAUGGCGGCACUGCAGGCGGCGGUUUAACCAGCUGCGCCACAAUGAUGGACCCAGCAUGGAGAUUUUGAUGGGAGCAGAGAAGUGAUUACCUGAAGGAGGAAAGUGGUCAGGGCUGACCCCUCUGAUCAUGCAUCCGUGUCCGCCCCCGGUGGCCUUUGGGGGACAGGACGCGAUGAGACAUGCAUUGGCAUGGAGUCUUAGGAGCCACUCCAGAACCGAGUGGAGGAGCUUUCCCGCCCUGUUCUUCAUCCGUGGCUAAGAGGCUCACGACUUGGGGAUGUGCUUUAAAGCCUUGUGCAUCCCCGAGGCGUGAGCAUGCAUGAAGAUGUGGCAGCCACUUCCUGGGGAACUUAGCCAGGUGUGACCUUGAGGGCAGAGUUCUGUCCUUGGCAGCUGGCCUCGGGGAAGGGGAUGGCAACACGGUCUGAAAAUGGGCCCUUCUGUUGUCCAGACAAAAACACUUGUGUCCGGGCUGGCACUGUGGCGCAGCAGGUUAAGGUCCUGGCCUGAAGCUCCAGCAUCCCAUGUGGGCGCCGGUUCUAGUCCUGGCUGCUCCACUUCCGAUCCAGCUCUCUGCUAUGGCCUGGGAAAGCAGUAGAAGAUGGCCCAAGUCCUUGGGCCCCUGCCCCCAUGUGGAAGACCCGGAGGAAGCUCCUGGCUUCAGAGUGGCACAACUCCAGCUGUUGGCGGCAAGUUGGGGAGUGAACCAGUGGAUAGAAGACCUCUCUCUCUCUCUCUGCCUCUCCUCUCUCUGUGUAACUCUGACUUUCAAAUAAAUAAAUAAAAAUCUUUAAAAAAAAAAAAAAGAAGAAGAAGAACACUUGUGUCCACCUGACAGUUGGCACAGCAGUUCCGCAGCCAGGCCCCCUCAGCGCCAGAGCUCCUGCCAGCCCCUCACCGGGCCAGCAGGCUUUGGUUCCGGAUGGGGUCUCUUUGUUGCAAGAACCCUGGAGGCAUUAGGGAGCUGCUACUUUGCCUUUCACUUUUCAUCGCUUCCUUGCGGGGUUUCCUCUCACUGGCUUCUUGUGGCUCUGGACCCCUGCCUGCACAGCCCCUGCCCUCAACACACGGUCUUCCCACUCGGGCCUGGCCUUCCGUGGGGUGGUGAUGAGCCCUUCAUCGGCAGUUACACGUGAUGAGACGUCACAUUGAUUUGCACUUGACACCGUCUGCUAACCCGGCACCUUCACGCACGCGGGCCAGCAAGACGCUAGCAAGUUGCAUGUCAGGGAAUGCGUGUUCUCACCUUAGUGGGGGGAGAAGUGGGCAGGGCCUGGGUCCUGGUUCCGGCUCCACUGCUGCCCAGGGGGUGGGCACUUCCCUGCCUCUCCCCAGGGCUGGAUUCCAGGCCACUCGCCCUUGGCUCUGACAUUCUAGGCUUUAAGAACGCUGGGGACCCAGGCAUCGGAUUCCACAUCUGCAGGACGCAAGCCUCCACAGCAGCACCUGCACUGGCCAGCCCUGCGGAAUAACUGUCCAGGUACCCACUGAGCCAUGCCACACGUCAGGCUCUGCUGUAGGCCCAGGCAAGCCACAGAGGUGAGGUCGGACCCAGCCUGGCCCCUGCCGUUCUUCUCCUGUGUGCACCCCAUGGAGUCCAGCAGCCUCCUGACUGAGACACGGGAGAGAAGGUGUCUGCGGGACCCAGGAUUGCACAGCGAACCUGGCAGUGCUGAAAGAAUCAUCCGGCCCCGGAUUGCCCAGACAGAAGGCACAGCCCGGAGUGGGGCCUGGGUGAUGCGUGCAGGCCACAGAGGCUUGUGAGGCUGGUGUGGCUGGCCCCCGCCUGCACUUCAGGGGCGCAGCCCUCAGGUUUCUUCCUGGAGAGGGGAAUCCCCCAUCUCCUGAUUCAGUAACUCUUCCACUCUGGCGUCUUCUCUCUCCCUCCAGCCGCCUGCACCUGGCCUUGGCUGCACCUGGCCUUGGCUAAUGUUGGUGAGCCGGACCGGGAGGGCGCAGGGGACCCUGUCUGCCAGUCGAGGGGCCAAAGUCACCCCUCCAUCCUCCAGGAAACCACACAAGCCACUUCCCCCAGGGUCCGGCUGUGAGGCCACUUCUGUCCCCACCUGUUGAUUGGUGAGUUUUCAACUCUGUGGGAGGUUUCCUAAAACAGGAUGCCCUCCCGCACUGAUGCACACGGAAGCAGCCACGCUGGGGACACCUGCCACCCCUCAGGCCGGAUGGGACAGGAACCGAGGGCUUUCCAAGUGCUGCUUUUCUAAACCCGAUAAUGAGAAGCAGGAGCCCCCUGCACAGUGGGCAGUGGGAGGCCCAGGUCUGGGUUCCUGAUCCACACAGGAAACACUAACAUUUUUAAAUUCAAGAGACAGAGAGAAGAGAGAGAGAGCUUGCAUCAGCUGGUUCAUCCCCCGAAUGCCAGCAACGGCUAGGAGCUGAAGCCAAGAGCUUAGCAUUCAGCCCAGGUCGUCUCCCACCUGGGUGCAGGUAACUCACCACUCGAGCCGUCACUGCUGUCUCCGGGGGUCUGCAUGGGCAGGAAGCUGGAGCCAGGAGCUGUAUCAAACCCAGGCCCUCCGAUGCAGGACGCGGGCAUCCUGGCCAGCAUUUGUAAUGCCUGGGCUAAAUGCCCAGCCCAAGAAACGACUGUGCGUCACUCGGGCUGCCCCUAGAGUCUCGGUAAGCCUGGGGUGGUUCCGUGUUGACUCUGCCUGCCCUAAGUGGUGUAUGAGGGGAGUGAGGCGGGGACACCCUUCCCGCCCGGGAAUACUGCAGUCUCCGAGUGACAAAGCCAAACGCACUCAAAGAGGUUCGGAGAGAGAUUGCAUUAGGGAGCAGUUGCCUGCGAUUGUUACCAAACUUUUGAAAAAGCAAGAAACAACAAAGAAAUAAAAGCAGUAGAUAAUUAAGUACAUAAUUGUACACACCACUUGUUAAUUAAGCUUUUACUCCUAAAACCUGACAGAAUCUGCUUACAAGGUGCUAGCGGGCGGGAGCGCAGCAUAUGGUGCACCAUCUGCGACGCCAGCGCUCGGCCGUGACAGCGGCUCUGCCCCACGGAGAGCAGGCGAGGCUAAAUGUGGUUUUCCGGAGCACAGCGAUCCGUCUUCAUUCCUGCAGAACGCGAGGGGACGGCGUGAGCACGCGGCAGAGAACUGUCAGGGAGAGGCCCCGCGCCAGGCCCGCCCCCCGCCACUGGCCACUGCACCCAGAGCCUUCUGGGAACCCCUGUGCUUGCCGCCUCUGCCUACAAGCAUUUUUUUAAGCUUUUGCAUUUAACAAUCAUUUAUUUGAAAGGCAGUUACAGAGAGAGGAGAGAGACAGAGAUCUUCCAUUCGCUGGUUCACUCCCCUGAUAGGGGAAGGGAGCUGGAUCCAUGGCGAAGCAGCCAGGACUCUCAUUGGUAUCCCAUGCUGGUGCUGCAGGCGGCGGCUUUACCUGCUGCACACGUGAAGAGCUCAAGGUCUUGAGAGACGUAGUCGCAGAGGGCUUGACAGUCCGUCACGGCAGGUGUCUGAGAGGUCCUUAAUGUCCCCAUGCGGCCGUCUGAGCUGUGAAGUGGAGAUGGCGGCCCCCACCCUCCCCGGGACACGAGCCCCCGUGAUGAUGAGCCCGUGCGGAAAGCACACUGGACAUGGAGGCUUUACGUGGUCAAGAAGCUCUUGCAUUCCAUGAGCUCAGAACUGCAUUUUCAUUUAGGCCCGGCCCGGCCUCCAGGGCUGCGGGCAGCCGGGGGAGAGGCCUGGGGGCGCCCUGGGGAGAUGGUCUUGGGGAGAGGGCAGCAGGUGGGGCUGUCUCCUCCCUGCCGAGGGCCUUCCCGGUUCCUCUGCUUGUCCUCUGAGCGGCCACAGGCAGCCCUGCCGACCCUGGCGCGUGGGAGAUGGCCUCGGGGGUCAGUGGGUGGGCUGGCCCUGGGGCUCCGCCUCUCUCACUGCCUUCUCUCCCCCGUCCCCAGGCGGCACCUGGUGUUCUUGUGCAGAAUCUGUCCCCACUCCUGGGUCCUUAGCCCUGCCUACCCCAUGAGGGGCUGUCUGGGGUCUCAUGCCCACCCCUUGGUCCUGUGACUUAGCACAAAACAGUGAUCUUGGGAGGGACCCCAUAUUCAGAACUGCCCUCAGUGGCUGGCGCUGUGGCGCAGUGGGUUAAGCUGCCACCUGCAGCGCCAGCAUCCCAUAGGAGCAACAGCUGAGUCCCGGCUGCUCCACUUCCUGCCCAGCUCUCUAAUGAGCCUGGGAAGGCAGCGGAAAAUGGCCCAAGUAUUUGACCCCUGCCACCUACGUGGGAGACCCCGCGGAAGCUUCUGGUUCCUGGCUUCAGCUUGGCUCCUGGCUUUGGCCUGGCCGUUUCAGCCAUUUGUGGGGGGUG